rnacentral:rRNA from 1 species
CCUACGGGUGGCAGCAGUGGGGAAUAUUGGGCAAUGGACGCAACUCUGACCCAGCAACGCCGCGUGAAUGAUGAAGGUCUUCGGAUUGUAAAGUUCUUUUCUACGGGAAGAAGAAAGUGACGGUACCUUAGGAAUAAGUCUAGGCUAACUAAGUGCCAGCAGCCGCGGUAAUACGUAGGAGGCAAGCGUUAUCCGGAAUGACUGGGCGUAACGGGGGCGUAGGUGGUUUGGUAAGUUGGUAGCGGAACUCCGGAGCUCAACUUCGGAACUACAACCGAAACUGGUGGACUCGAGUUCAGGAGGGGCAACUGGAAUUUCUAGUGUAGCGGUGGAAUGCGUAGAUAUUAGGAAGAACACCGGUGGCGAAGGCGAGUUGCUGGACUGUAACUGACACUGAGGCACGAAAGCGUGGGGAGCAAACAGGAUUAGAUACCCGAGUAGUC